AUCCAGCUGACGAGUCCCAAAUAGGAUGAAACACGUGUCCUGGAU
rnacentral:hammerhead_ribozyme from 1 species